AUUGAACGCUGGCGGCAGGCUUAACACAUGCAAGUCGAACGAGUGGCGGACGGGUGAGUAAUGUCUGGGAAACUGCCCGAUGGCGGUGGGUAACUACUGGAAACGGUAGCUAAUACCGCCUACCAUCGGAUGUGCCCAGAUGGGAUUGGCUAGUAGGUGGGGUAACGGCUCACCGGGGCGACGAUCCCUAGCGGGUCGGAGAGGGUGACCAGCCACACUGGAACUGAGACACGGUCCAGAGUCCUACGGGAGGCAGCAGUGGGGAAUAGUGCACAAUGGGCGCAAGCCUGAUGCAGUCAUGCCGCGUGUAUGAAGAAGGCCUUCGGGUUGUAAAGUACUUUCAGCGAGGAGGCGUUACGCGCAGAAGAAGCACCGGCUAACUACGUGCCAGCCGCCGCGGUAAUUC
rnacentral:rRNA from 1 species